rnacentral:rRNA from 1 species
UGGGGAAUAUUGGACAAUGGGCGAAAGCCUGAUCCAGCCAUGCCGCGUGUGUGAAGAAGGCUUUCGGGUUGUAAAGCACUUUCAGCGAGGAAGAAAGCGUGCCGUUUAAUACACGGUACGGACGACAUCACUCGCAGAAGAAGCACCGGCUAACUCCGUGCCAGCAGCCGCGGUAAUACGGAGGGUGCAAGCGUUAAUCGGAAUUACUGGGCGUAAAGCGCGCGUAGGCGGCGUGUCACGCCGGGUGUGAAAGCCCCGGGCUCAACCUGGGAACGGCAUCCGGAACGGGCAGGCUAGAGUGCAGGAGAGGAAGGUAGAAUUCCCGGUGUAGCGGUGAAAUGCGUAGAGAUCGGGAGGAAUACCAGUGGCGAAGGCGGCCUUCUGGACUGACACUGACGCUGAGGUGCGAAAGCGUGGGUAGCAAACAGG